GAUGAACGCUGGCGGCGUGCCUAAUACAUGCAAGUCGAGCGAACAGACGAGGAGCUUGCUCCUUUGACGUUAGCGGCGGACGGGUGAGUAACACGUGGAUAACCUACCUAUAAGACUGGGAUAACUUCGGGAAACCGGAGCUAAUACCGGAUAAUAUAUUGAACCGCAUGGUUCAAUAGUGAAAGACGGCUUUGCUGUCACUUAUAGAUGGAUCCGCGCUGCAUUAGCUAGUUGGUAAGGUAACGGCUUACCAAGGCAACGAUGCGUAGCCGACCUGAGAGGGUGAUCGGCCACACUGGAACUGAGACACGGUCCAGACUCCUACGGGAGGCAGCAGUAGGGAAUCUUCCGCAAUGGGCGAAAGCCUGACGGAGCAACGCCGCGUGAGUGAUGAAGGUCUUCGGAUCGUAAAACUCUGUUAUUAGGGAAGAACAAAUGUGUAAGUAACUAUGCACGUCUUGACGGUACCUAAUCAGAAAGCCACGGCUAACUACGUG
rnacentral:rRNA from 1 species